rnacentral:rRNA from 1 species
CCUACGGGAGGCAGCAGUGAGGAAUAUUGGUCAAUGGACGAGAGGCUGAACCAGCCAAGUAGCGUGAAGGAUGACUGCCCUAUGGGUUGUAAACUUCUUUUAUAAAGGAAUAAAACGAGGCACGUGUGCCUUUUUGCGUGUACUUUAUGAAUAAGCAUCGGCUAACUCCGUGCCAGCAGCCGCGGUAAUACGGAGGAUCCGAGCGUUAUCCGGAUUUAUUGGGUUUAAAGGGGGCGUAGAUGGUAUGUUAAGUCAGUCGUGAAAGUUUGCGGCUCAACCGUAAAAUUGCAGUUGAUACUGGCAGUCUUGAGUGCAGUUGAGGUAGGCGGAAUGCGUGGUGUAGCGGUGAAAUGCAUAGAUAUCACGCAGAACCCCGAUUGCGAAGGCAGCUUACCAGACUGUGACUGACAUUCAUGCUCGAAAGUGUGGGUAUCAAACAGGAUUAGAUACCCUUGUAGUC